rfam:Colletotrichum gloeosporioides Nara gc5 unplaced genomic scaffold scaffold509, whole genome shotgun sequence.
UCCGGCAUAGUGUAAUGGUUAACAUACUCCGCUUUCAUCAGUUCGCAUCUGAAGAUCCGGAGAGCUCCGAGUUCGAUUCUCGGUGUCGGAA